UCCCAUAUUGUCUAGUGGUUAGGAUCCGGCGCUCUCACCGCCGUGGUCCGGUUUCGAUUCCCGGUGUGGGAA
rfam:Nematostella vectensis strain CH2 x CH6 NEMVEscaffold_129_Cont14635, whole genome shotgun sequence.